GCCAGUGUGGCAUAGUGGUUUGAGUAUUGGACUAUGACUCUGGAAACCAGGGUUCAAUUCCCUGCUCAACCA
rnacentral:tRNA from 1 species